CAGUAUCAAUGUAAAAAUUCAUUGAUUUAGAUGAUUUUUUUUUUGAAUCUAAGUAUUUUUUCGUCAUGUAGUCGACACAGCUUCUGUUUGGCGGAAAAGUUUUUGCAACAACCAGUCAGACCUAUUUAUUUCAGCGGAAUCUUCCUGCCGGGCAACCCCAGACAGCACGGUGAGAUCCGGCGUAGGAAAGUUUCGACAGCUAUGAAAGGGCAAACGAUAGUGGACUCCAAGGUAGGUCUUUCAAAAUCAAUUUAAUUUUAAAUAACAACAUAACAAACUUUUUUAGGGCAAUCUUUCAUCCAACCAAUUUGAAGAGGUAACUGUACUGACUGUUCCAGUCCUCCGGCUAAGCGGUUGCAAUCGGUUCCGAUCCGGUCUAAGGAGACACGACGGCUGGCGCCGAAACCCUUUGGUCGAAACAACUGUCCACCAACAAAUAUCGUUCAAUGAACCGGUUCAAAAAUUCAAACAAGGGAAGAUCGAUUAUGUGAAGUGGUGAAAGGUAGAACAUCUACUUACAGAGAAAAAAAAACUUACAGAGAAAUAAAAUAUUUUAAAGCAUAAUUGAUUUCUUUUUAUUUCCAAUAGGACGAAAAUUAAUAAGUAGUACUAGAAUUUUUGCGAACAAAAAAUAGAAAUGAAGAACGAUUUUUUUUAAAUUGAAAUCCAAAUGCCGUUGAAUUAAAGGAAAAUUACAUAAAAUCAAACGAAAAGGUUUUUGAAU